GAUGAACGCUGGCGGCGUGCCUAAUACAUGCAAGUCGAGCGAACAGACGAGGAGCUUGCUCCUCUGACGUUAGCGGCGGACGGGUGAGUAACACGUGGAUAACCUACCUAUAAGACUGGGAUAACUGCGGGAAACCGGAGCUAAUACCGGAUAAUAUAUUGAACCGCAUGGUUCAAUAGUGAAAGACGGUUUUGCUGUCACUUAUAGAUGGAUCCGCGCCGCAUUAGCUAGUUGGUAAGGUAACGGCUUACCAAGGCAACGAUGCGUAGCCGACCUGAGAGGGUGUUCGGCCACACUGGAACUGAGACACGGUCCAGACUCCUACGGGAGGCAGCAGUAGGGAAUCUUCCGAAAUGGGCGAAAGCCUGACGGAGCAACGCAGCGUGAGUGAUGAAGGUCUUCGGAUCGUAAAACUCUGUUAUUAGGGAAGAACAAAUGUGUAAGUAACUAUGCACGUCUUGACGGUACCUAAUCAGAAAGCCACGGCUAACUACGUG
rnacentral:rRNA from 1 species